rnacentral:misc_RNA from 1 species
GUAUAACUUUUAUAAAAACAUUCAAUUUACUUUUAACAGUGUGUAUAAAAAUCAUAGACAAGGAAUAGGAUUGCUACCCUUGCCUACAGAAUGUGCACAGGUGAAUGAAGAGUUGGAGUGCACAUGCAAUUAUAAAUUGCCAGCACAUCCUUUGAGAAUCAUUAAUGAUCCUUCCGCAGGUUCACCUACGGAAA